UUGGACAGUCAUGAGAAGGUUUGUCCCUCCCAGGAUCUUGAGCACCUCCUGUGGGCAGGGCCCUGUUCUAGAAGGUGGGGACACACCCAAGGUGACCCAGGUCAAGGGCCCCGCCCUCCAAACGGAAAGGGGGCAGAAGAUUUCCACAAACAGCCUGCCUCGCUGCCAAGGCCUAAGUUUACAGAACCCCCGCUGGAGAUUCUUCCUCCACCCUGGCAGGCCGCCUCCCUUGGCCGCAGAACCCAUGCUGGAGCCGGAGACGUGGAGCCACCUCAUCCCUGCAGGAAGUGUGACAGGGGCUGGGGAAGAGGAGAAGCUGCAGCAGGAAGCCGGCCUCACCUGCUCCCCAAGCCGGAGGCCCAGGGCGCAGUGCUGGCCCAGGCCUCUCAGCCGGCAGGGCGGGCUCUCUCCCCCCACCAGUCAGCCCCGAGGUUGUUCAGGGAUGCACAGCCUCCUUCCUGCUCCUUCCGGGUCCAGGCCCCCCUUUGCCCCCCGUGUGGCCACCAGAGGGACGUCCUGAGCUACAGGGACCAGGCAUUCCUCUGCUGCUCCCCGUGACCCUCACCUUAGCCCCAAGCUCCCUUGGCUUGGGUCCGAAGUCCUCGAUGACCCGCCCUUGCUGGCCCCUCGGAACUUGGAGCUGCCUGCCUGGCACCAGCCAAAUCUGCAGGGAGCUGAAUCGAAAGGUGACAGCCCGGAGUGGGUAGGAAGUAGAGGCAGUUCGCCGGCCACUGAGUCUCAGUGUUGCAGGGCCUGGGAGGGCUCUGCGGGGCUCUGUGGCCCCCGGCUGCCUCACCCCAAGCCCUGGCCCCGGGACAAGGGUGAGGAGGCAGGUAGUUUGCACCAGAGGGGCCUCAGUCCCAGCGAGGAGACCCAGAGCCCUCGUGGCCGCUGAGUGGGGCCCCGUCCACGUUCAAGUCCGGGUUCGCCCCUGACUGUGGUGAGCUGGGCCGGGUGUUAACCUUCAUCGGGGUAUGGUGCCACCUGAACCCUAUGGGGGGGGCCCAUGCUCAGGACGAGGUAAGGUGAGCCAUCGUGACUGUGGCUAGUGGUCCUCAGCGUGGCCCAGCCUAAGGGACCCUGUCGUGAGGUCAGGCCCACACCCUGCCCCCCCGCCCCCCCAGAGCCUGGAGCUGAGGCCUCUGCUAGGGGGGAGGCCCUAGCUCCUCUUCCCACAUUUCAGCAGCCUCACCGCAGGCGCUGGGGGCCUCCUCUGAAGCCCACCCCACAUGUCACCAUGUCCCCGGUGCCCUAGAGCACACUCCUUCCUUCCCUCGAAUCCUCUCUGAGGCCUGCUCUGCCGGCGGGUGUACAGAGUAAUCAGAGAAUUCCCUCUCAACUGCGCACCGGCUUGGUGUUUCCCAAACCUGUGGCCUACGGAUGUACGAUGGGGAGGAUAGCUCUUAGAGAUUUCUGGAAGAAUUAAAACUUUUUCUGUU